rnacentral:rRNA from 1 species
GACGAACGCUGGCGGCGUGCUUAACACAUGCAAGUCGAACGGAAAGGCCCUGCUUGUGUGGGGUGCUCGAGUGGCGAACGGGUGAGUAACACGUGAGUAACCUGCCCUUGACUGUGGGAUAACUUCAGGAAACUGGGGCUAAUACCGGAUAGGAGCUCCUGCUGCAUGGUGGGGGUUGGAAAGUUUCGGCGGUUGGGGAUGGACUCGCGGCUUAUCAGCUUGUGGGUGGGGUAGUGGCUUACCAAGGCUUUGACGGGUAGCCGGCCUGGGAGGGUGACCGGCCACAUUGGGACUGAGAUACGGCCCAGACUCCUACGGGAGGCAGCAGUGGGGAAUAUUGCACAAUGGGCGGAAGCCUGAUGCAGCAACGCCGCGUGCGGGAUGACGGCCUUCGGGUUGUAAACCGCUUUCGCCUGUGACGAAGCGUGAGUGACGGUAAUGGGUAAAGAAGCACCGGCUAACUACGUG